UGUAGGUCGCAGAUGCAGCUUGGAUCUGGCACUGCUGUGGCUGCGCUGUAGACCGGCAGCUGCAGCUCUGAUUUGACCCCUCGCCUGGGAACUUCCUUCUCCAUGUGGUUUAUGUGGUACAGUAAUCUAUAGAGAUGCAGAGUGGAAUUUAUGAUACACAGUUUAAUGCUUUGUGUUGCUUCUGUUUCUAGAAAUCUGGCAAUAUGUAAGUGUCUAAGAGCCUGAGAACCCACCGUAAGAUCCUGAGCUCCACGGGAUGCCUCUGAAACCCAGGCAUCAGUUAGAUCCAUUAAACCUGCCUUCCCCGUCCUGCUCUCUUUGUUUCUACGAAAACCCUGUACGUCCUCUAAGCGUCCUCUAAACAAGUUGUUUUUUAGGAAUUUGUUGUCAGCUGGGUCCAGUUGGAUCAUGAGCUCGUUAAGACUGAUUAAGCCCACGGACCCUCCAACCGGGCAUGCGCAGUGUCUGCUCGGUAAACGACGUCGGAGGGCUCAGAACUCCACCCUGGGAACCGCCUGCAGCUUAGUUGCGCCUGCGCAGAAGUGCCGUUGCCUCACCUUUUCCUUUUCUCCAAUUAUUACCUUGCCCCACGCUCCCCACGCCCCAGCUUUAUCCCACACAUGCUCCAAGCCCCUUGCCGUGGGGGAGGCCGGUUGGAGAUUUGUUCUAUUUCCUCGUUGGGCUGCUCGGGGAAUAUAUUUUUUCUCUGCUGCAAACUUGAGCAUCUCAGCAUCGCUUGGCUUCCUGUGCGUGGGGAGAACGUGUCCGGUUCCGUAACUCCUCGUUGAGCGGGAAUUUGAAAACAGAAGAUCCGAUUCCUGCUCUCGAGGCACCUACAGGUCCAACAAAUUACUUAGGCCUGCAGGCCAUGGUUGAUUGGCCCGAGAGCGGGCCUCCGGUACAAGGGCAACAGACUGGAAAUUUGGAUCCGAGGCAGAGGAAAAAGGGGUUUUUCUCCAGCAGGUGGAAGCUGGACACAGGCCUUGAAUUCCUAAUGAGUCAGGGGAUCGUAAACACAGACGCAGCAUCCUACAGAAGCCCCAGCCUCAUCCUGCGUGUCCCAGGAGCUGGAGAAUUCGGCCCUUGUGAAGGACAAAGCAAGCUGGAGAAUGUCUGACUGGCUCCCUUUGCAUAAGAAUUUUGCCUCUGUGGACUCUUCUGAGCUCCCCCAGUGCUGGGCUCUUCAGCCCUGCCCACCAGAAUAAGGUUCUGGUCCAAAAGCCACAGGCAGCAGCUGGAUCCCAAAGACGCAGGUGUCACCCAAGAUGCCUUUUUGCAGAGACAGAAAGCAUCUAGGUCAUCCCAGAGGAGCAGGAGCAAAACCGAUUAAAGAACUCACCCCUCCUGAACAGAAUGAACGAGAUUCUUCUUUCAUCUCUGCCCUAAGACUAGAUCCUACCAAUUCCAGAAAACUGAAUUCCUCACAAGAUGAGAGAAGCAGCAGCUGGGUUCAGCACAGACCUGGCCAAGCAAGACCAUCAACAGAUGAAGCAGCCAUGAAGGAAAUCUAGAAGGUACUGGAUGACCUUUCAUUUUGUCCAUUGUUUCCCAUCACUGUGCAAAAGAGUUUUAGUUUGAUGGAGUCUCACUUACUUGUUUGUGCUUUUGAUGUCUGUGCUUUUAGUGUCCGAUGCAAAACCUCUUGGCCAAGACCCAUGUUGAGAGGCUUUUUCCCUAUGUUUUCUUCUAGGAGUUUUACAGGUUCAGGUCUUUAAGGUGAAUCCAAUUUCAGUUUAUUUUUGUUUAUAGUGUAAGAUAAGUGUUCAAGUUCAUUCUUUUACAUGUGAUUAUCCAGUUCUCCCAACAUCAUUUAUUGAAGAGACCAUCCUUUCCCUGUUGUGCAUUUUUGGCUCCUUUAUCAAAAAUUAAUUGACCGUUUGUUUCCAAAUGUUUUAUUCUGUUCCAUUGGUCUAUGUGGCUGAUUUUAUUCCAGAGCAUACUGUUCUGAGUGCUAUAGCUUUGUAAUAUAGUUCAAAACCAGAAAGUAUGAUGCCUCUAUAAAUUUGUUCUUUCUCUGCAUUGCUUUGACUAUUCAGAGUCUUUUGUGGAUCUACACACAUUUUAGGAUUUUUUUUCUAUUUCUGUGGAAAAUGCCAUCAGUAUUUUGAUAGGAACUGCACUGAACCUGUAGAUCAUUUGGGGCUGUAUGGACAUUUUAACAAUCUUAAUUCUUCCCAUGCGUAAACACAGGAUAUCUUUCCAUGUAUUGUAUGGCUUCUUCCAUUUCUUUCAUCAGUGUCUUAUCAUUUUCAGCAGACAGAUCCUUUACCUCCUUGGUUAAAUUUACCUUUAAG